GAGAAUCCAUUCCACCGAAAGCCUAAGGGUUCCUGAGCAACGAUCGUCGUCUCAGGGUAAGUCGGGACCUAAGCCGAGGCGGAAUAGCGUAGGCGAUGGACAACAGGUUGAAAUUCCUGUACCGGUGUGAAUCGUUUGAUCGAUGGAGUGACACAGUAAGGUAGGUCAGCACGCGAUUGGAAGAGCGUGUUUAAGCAGGUAGGUUGAGCUAUAGGCAAAUCCGUAGCUCUAAAAGCUGAGAUGUGAUGACGAGUGACUAGCAAUAGUCGCGAAGUGAUUGAUCCUACACUGUCGAGAAAAGCUUCUAGGUAGAGACACAUCGCCCGUACCAAAACCGACACAGGUAGGCGGGGAGAGAAUCCUAAGGUGCGCGGGAAAACCCUCGUUAAGGAACUCGGCAAAAUGCCUCCGUAACUUCGGGAAAAGGAGGACUCAUGUAGUGUGAAGAGCAGAAACGCUUGGAGCAUGAAUGAGUGGCACAAGAGAGGCGCAAGCGACUGUUUACCACAAACACAGGUGCCUGCUAAAGCGAAAGCUGAUGUAUAGGUGCUGACACCUGCCCGGUGCUGGAAGGUUAAGAGGAGGGGUUAGACUUCGGUCGAAGCUCUGAAUUGAAGCCCCAGUAAACGGCGGCCGUAACUAUAACGGUCCUAAGGUAGCGAAAUUCCUUGUCGGGUAAGUUCCGACCCGCACGAAAGGUGUAACGACUUGCGCACUGUCUCAACGAGGGACCCGGUGAAAUUGAAGUACCUGUGAAGAUGCAGGUUACCCGCGACUGGACAGAAAGACCCCAUGGAGCUUUACUGCAACCUAAGAUUGAACUUAGUUAAUGAAUGUACAGGAUAGGUGGGAGACGUAGAACCUAGGACGCCAGUUUUAGGGGAGUCGCUGUUGGGAUACCACCCUUUCAUUAAUUGAUUUCUAACGGGCCGAGUAACGACCGGCCGGACAGUCUUAGGCGGGCAGUUUGACUGGGGCGGUCGCCUCCAAAAGAGUAACGGAGGCGCCCAAAGGUUCCCUCAGAGCGGACGGAAAUCGCUCGAAGAGUGUAAAGGCAGAAGGGAGCUUGACUGCGAGACGGACAGGUCGAGCAGGGACGAAAGUCGGGCUUAGUGAUCCGGUGGUGCCGAGUGGAAGGGCCAUCGCUCAACGGAUAAAAGCUACCCUGGGGAUAACAGGCUAAUCUCUCCCAAGAGUCCAUAUCGACGGGGAGGUUUGGCACCUCGAUGUCGGCUCAUCACAUCCUGGGGCUGAAGUAGGUCCCAAGGGUUCGGCUGUUCGCCGAUUAAAGUGGUACGUGAGCUGGGUUCAGAACGUCGUGAGACAGUUCGGUCCCUAUCCAUCGCGGGCGCAAGAAACUUGAAGGGGGCUGCUCCUAGUACGAGAGGACCGGAGUGGACGAACCGCUGGUGUACCAAUUAUCCUGCCAAGGGUACAGUUGGGUAGCUACGUUCGGGACGGAUAAACGCUGAAAGCAUCUAAGCGUGAAACCAGCCUUGAGAUGAGGUUUCUCAUAGCAAAAGCUAGUAAGAUCCCAUGUAGACGACAUGGUAGAUAGGCCAGGUGUGGAAGAGCCGUGAGGUUUGGAGCUGACUGGUACUAAUCGAUCGAGGGCUUUACUU
rnacentral:rRNA from 1 species